GAUGAACGCUAGCGGCAGGCCUAAUACAUGCAAGUCGAACGGUGUCUUCGGACAUAGUGGCGCACGGGUGCGUAACACGUAUGCAACCUACCUUACAUUGGGGGAUAGCCUUUCGAAAGGGAGAUUAAUACCGCAUAAGACAGUAGCUGGGCAUCCAGCAGCUGUUAAAGAUUUAUCGAUGUAAGCUGGGCAUGCGUCCAAUUAGCUAGUUGGUGAGGUAACGGCUCACCAAGGCAAUGAUUGGUAGGGGAACUGAGAGGUCAAUCCCCCACACGGGCACUGAGAUACGGGCCAGACUCCUACGGGAGGCAGCAGUAGGGAAUAUUGGGCAAUGGACGCAAGUCCGACCCAGCCAUGCCGCGUGCAGGAUGAAGGCGUUAUGCGUUGUAAACUGCUUUUAUACAGGAAGAAACGACUCUUGCGAGAGGCAUUGACGGUACUGUAUGAAUAAGCACCGGCUAACUCCGUGCCAGCCGCCGCUGUAACAC
rnacentral:rRNA from 1 species